GUGCAUGUGAGGUUCAACGUUUUUUGCUCUAUUUUUUCAUAUUUGACAGAUGUAACACCCCAAAAAUGAUUAUUUCACUUAGGAUAAAAUGCAGAAGCAAAAGGGUAAUAUUUAAAUUAAGAAGUGUUUGAAAAUUUAGGGACUGAAGUUGUAAAUGCCUAAAAAUCAAUUUACUAAAAUGAAUAAUACCAAAAACCCACACAUAGUUCGUGUGUGGGUUCUGGUCAAUCAACAAGGGGAGCAAAGGAGGGGUUCAACCCUAGUUUGUCAAAAUCCACAUGAAUCAAGUGAAAUCUUGAGAAAAUUGAAAGUAUAAACAACGAAUUCUAAGCUUCAAGACUUGUUCUUCGAAGUGGCGUAAAGGAAGAGGGCUCAGGUUCUAAGAAGUCGGAAAGCUCACAAGACAAAGGUAAAUCCUCACUUUAGGCGAUUUGGAGAUUUGGAGCGAGCACGUGUCCAUGUCUUGUUAUGCCAAACGCUUCCGCUAGCUUAUUCGCAUCUUUUGGGUUUAUAACUUGCCGUUUUGUCCAACUUUGUUAGUAGAUGUACAUUUGAAAAACUUGUUGUCUUUACUUUUGGUAGUUUAUGUCUUUGGAUCGUAAAAUGUUGUUUAGUAAAUUAUGUUAAGAAAACAGGGGGCAUGUUCGUUUUACGAACGGGUCAUGCCCAAUUUUUGUAAAAAUUCAAUUAUGUAUCAAAGUUGGAAUUAUUGAUGUCUAUUAAA